rnacentral:rRNA from 1 species
UACGUAGGGUGCGAGCGUUGUCCGGAAUUAUUGGGCGUAAAGAGCUCGUAGGCGGUUUGUCGCGUCGGCCGUGAAAUCUCCACGCUUAACGUGGAGCGUGCGGUCGAUACGGGCAGACUUGAGUUCGGCAGGGGAGACUGGAAUUCCUGGUGUAGCGGUGAAAUGCGCAGAUAUCAGGAGGAACACCGGUGGCGAAGGCGGGUCUCUGGGCCGGUACUGACGCUGAGGUGCGAAAGCGUGGGGAGCAAACAGG